rnacentral:lncRNA from 1 species
ACAUUCCCCAGUUCUCCAUGUGCAGGAGCAUGGAAACUACCUGAUGUUAGGCAUUGCACAGCCAGCUUACAGGAUCCUUUCCUUGCCAAGGUUGGACUUCACUGUGGCCUUCUGGUGGACUCCCCAUCCAUGUCUCAAAUGGCCUUGACUCUGCUUAGCUUUCGAUGCUGGUCCAGGUCGGCAAGCAGACUUGUCAGCAGAGCAGAGCGGAGAGUCUCGACGGGAGAAGCUAGGUGAUGGGCCUGCCUUCCUACCCAGAUAUCAAGACUGAGGCCCCUUCUCCGGGGACCCUUUUCACAUAGAAAUCCACACCCUGACUUUCACACACAGUCCACCCUCAGUGGCUACGCCAGCAGGAGGCUGCCCUCUGGCCUGCACAUCCCUCACCGUACACUGCUGGAGGCCAGCCAAGCCUGGGAGUGCAAGGAUCUGGCCGAAGACUCUGGCGGUGGAAGGCGCAUGCAGGAGAACUCCUCCUCCCCCCCCCAGCCGUUCCUUUUUGCUCCUGCUUCUGUCGGCAGGGAGGGAAGCGAGGAGCAGAGAAGUUCCCCUGGGGACCCUGGAGUGGGUGGCUGUUCCCUGGAGAGACCUGCGGGUGCCACGGCUGGCAGCCGGGAGACGGGUUGGCGUGGAAGGCUGUCUAGCAGAUGAAUCGACCAGACAGAAGCUGUUGGGUUUCGUUAUGCCUUGUCUGGCACGUGCUUCCUCCCAACGCCAGGGCCGUGUCCCCAUGAAACAUCCUCCACCAGUGGUUCUUAUCUGAGGUCUUCCAACUAUUUAGGUCUUCACCUCCCAGAAAACCCAGCAUAGCCAACGAUUCUCAGCCCGGGAGGCCCACAACAGCAAAAGAAACCAAGGGGAUUGAUUAAACCUCCACCUCUAUGGAGACCGCCUGGAGGCUCCUGGAUGCCUGCAGAAUCUGGAAUUUGGGAAGACUUUCUACCCCAGCAGCUGUUCUAAGCUACCGCCUUCUACCCUGUGUGGAUUCGCCUGAGCUGCUUGGUGAUCAAGAAUUUACUUUAUCAGACAAAACCAAAAGGAAAAAUUUAAAAAUAAAGAAGAAAAAGGUUGUGUUGGUGACA